CAGUGGGGAAUUUUGGACAAUGGGCGAAAGCCUGAUCCAGCAAUGCCGCGUGCAGGAUGAAGGCCUUCGGGUUGUAAACUGCUUUUGUACGGAACGAAAAGGCUCUGGCUAAUACCUGGGGCACAUGACGGUACCGUAAGAAUAAGCACCGGCUAACUACGUGCCAGCAGCCGCGGUAAUACGUAGGGUGCGAGCGUUAAUCGGAAUUACUGGGCGUAAAGCGUGCGCAGGCGGUUUUGUAAGACAGAGGUGAAAUCCCCGGGCUCAACCUGGGAACUGCCUUUGUGACUGCAAAGCUGGAGUGCGGCAGAGGGGGAUGGAAUUCCGCGUGUAGCAGUGAAAUGCGUAGAUAUGCGGAGGAACACCGAUGGCGAAGGCAAUCCCCUGGGCCUGCACUGACGCUCAUGCACGAAAGCGUGGGGAGCAAACAGGAUUAGAUACCCUGGUAGUCCACGCCCUAAACGAUGUCAACUGGUUGUUGGGUCUUAACUGACUCAGUAACGAAGCUAACGCGGAAGUGACCGC
rnacentral:rRNA from 1 species